rnacentral:lncRNA from 12 species
CUCCUCCUUUCCCUGCUUCUCUCUUUCUGUGGCAGCCAUACCUACCCCUGUACAGAGUUGGGCUUGGGUACUGUUCUACCGACCAUUAGUGUGUUCCUUGGACAAGUUACUUAACUUUCUAGUUCCCUCAUCUGUAAAAAGGAAAUAAUAAUAGUCCUGAAGCAUCCUCAGGAUUCCUUGAGCUCAUCCACUGAGAGCACUUAGAACGGUGUCUAGCAACAGCAGGUUCUCAGAGAAGGCUGAUAAAACUCACUGCUCCUCCUGCUGAUAACCUCUUUGGAUUUCCCCAAGGCCCUUUGAUCACCGACUUGGGGUCCGGGAGGCCACGGGUAUAAGCAGCUAACUGGGAAGUGGAGAAAAAGAAUUUGUCAACAGAAUCCUCUUCUUUCUGGAAAUUCCUGAAGAUGGUGAGGAGGCGGAGCCACGGUUGGAAGGGAGCCUGUAUCCUGAGUCAAGACUUAGAAGAAAUCCACCUGGGAAAGCCACCUAACCAGCAUCAGAAUGCAAAGUGGACUAGAAACAAAACAGCGUUUUUAUUCCUCAGUCACACCCAGGAAGGACAAGGAAGGAACGCCAAACUUUGAGCAUUUGGACUCGCCCUUUGCAGUGUUUCUUCAACUUCCAAGGACAAAGGUGUAGUCAGAAAAUGUGAAUUGGACUUGCCCUAUAUCUGCCGAUCUGUCUCAUCCUUGAGUUCUUGUGACAUGGAAACCUUACCCUUGGACUAAGAUCAAGAAACUCAGAGCAAAUGACAAGAAGAUUUUGAGUGAGGUCUUCUUCAGCUCUGAGGAACACUAUGUUACUCUCACCAAAAGACAUGCUUCCCUCACCGCAGGCCUGGGGGCUGUAGCUGGGCACUGCCAGUGGAAACCCAGAAAGGUGGAAGUCCCUGGAGCUCUGCAGAAAGCCAGGCCCCCAGCUCUUUCCCCUUGGCUUUAUGCCAAACUCACAAAUUCCUUAACUAAAACAUCCGUUACCAAC